rnacentral:rRNA from 2 species
CAGGUCGAGCAGGGACGAAAGUCGGGCUUAGUGAUCCGGUGGUUCCGUAUGGAAGGGCCAUCGCUCAACGGAUAAAAGCUACCCUGGGGAUAACAGGCUUAUCUCCCCCAAGAGUCCACAUCGACGGGGAGGUUUGGCACCUCGAUGUCGGCUCAUCGCAUCCUGGGGCUGUAGUCGGUCCCAAGGGUUGGGCUGUUCGCCCAUUAAAGCGGUACGCGAGCUGGGUUCAGAACGUCGUGAGACAGUUCGGUCCCUAUCCGUCGCGGGCGUAGGAAAUUUGAGAGGACCUGUCCUUAGUACGAGAGGACCGGGAUGGACAUACCGCUGGUGUACCAGUUGUUCCGCCAGGAGCACCGCUGGGUAGCUAUGUAUGGACGAGAUAAACGCUGAAAGCAUCUAAGUGUGAAACUCGCCUCGAGAUGAGAUUUCCCAUUUCCUUCGGGAAAGUAAGACCCCUCAGAGAUGAUGAGGUAGAUAGGAUGGAAGUGGAAGUGCCGUGAGGCAUGGAGCGGACCAUUACUAAUCGGUCGAGGACUUAACCAAG